AGCAACAACUUCAGCACAGGCUAACUAACUUAAGGUGGGCUGACCUUUAAGGUGGUCCAGCUAUUCUCAUUUUAGUGACAAGCCGCUCCUUCAAGUUUUGGAGUUUCAGUGAUCUCUCCUUCGCUGCAACCGACAACCACUAAGCUUUGUGCAAAUAAUUGCCCGAUGACAUCAC